rnacentral:rRNA from 1 species
GCUUUACACAUGCAAGUCGAACGGCAGCACGGACUUCGGUCUGGUGGCGAGUGGCGAACGGGUGAGUAAUAUAUCGGAACGUAUCCAAUAAUGGGGGAUAACUAAUCGAAAGGUUGGCUAAUACCGCAUACGCCCUACGGGGGAAAGCUAGGGAUCUUCGGACCUGGCGUUAAUGGAGCGGCCGAUAUCUGAUUAGCUAGUUGGUGAGGUAAGAGCUCACCAAGGCGACGAUCAGUAGCUGGUCUGAGGGGACGACCAGCCACACUGGAACUGAGACACGGUCCAGACUCCUACGGGAGGCAGCAGUGGGGAAUUUUGGACAAUGGGCGCAAGCCUGAUCCAGCCAUUCCGCGUGAGUGAAGAAGGCCUUCGGGUUGUAAAGCUUUUUCGCAAGGGAAGAAAACUUAGUUACUAAUAUUAACUGAGGUUGACGGUACCUUGAUAAGAAGCACCGGCUAACUACGUGCCAGCAGCCGCGGUAAUACGUAGGGUGCGAGCGUUAAUCGGAAUUACUGGGCGUAAAGCGUGCGCAGGCGGUUUUGUAAGUCAGAUGUGAAAUCCCCGAGCUCAACUUGGGAACUGCGUUUGAAACUACAAGACUAGAAUAUGUCAGAGGGGGGUAGAAUUCCACGUGUAGCAGUGAAAUGCGUAGAGAUGUGGAGGAAUACCAAUGGCGAAGGCAG